rnacentral:rRNA from 1 species
GUGGGGAAUAUUGGGCAAUGGGGGAAACCCUGACCCAGCGACGCCGCGUGAGGGAAGAAGGCCUUAGGGUCGUAAACCUCUGUUGUGUGGGAAGAAGAGCGUGACGGUACCACACGAGGAAGUCCCGGCUAACUACGUGCCAGCAGCCGCGGUAAUACGUAGGGGACGAGCGUUGUCCGGAUUUACUGGGCGUAAAGGGCGCGUAGGCGGUCAUUUAAGUCAGCUGUGAAAUGGUUUGGCUUAACCGGAUCAUGCGGUUGAAACUGGAUGACUGGAGUGCUGGAGAGGCAAGUGGAAUUCCCAGUGUAGCGGUGAAAUGCGUAGAUAUUGGGAAGAACACCGGUGGCGAAGGCGACUUGCUGGCCAGCAACUGACGCUGAGGCGCGAAAGCCAGGGGAGCAAACAGGAUUAGAAACCCGGGUAGUCC